rnacentral:rRNA from 1 species
UGGGUAACCUGCCUCAAAGAGGGGAAUAGCCUCCCGAAAGGGAGAUUAAUACCGCAUAAUAUGUUUAAGUCGCAUGACUUUAACAUCAAAGGAUUUUCUUUUAGAAAUUCCACUUUGAGAUGGACCCGCGGCGCAUUAGCUAGUUGGUGAGGUAACGGCUCACCAAGGCAACGAUGCGUAGCCGACCUGAGAGGGUGAUCGGCCACAUUGGAACUGAGACACGGUCCAGCUCCUAGGAGG